rnacentral:rRNA from 1 species
AGUGAACAAUUAAACGGCCGCGGUACCCUAACCGUGCAAAGGUAGCAUAAUCAUUUGUCUAUUAAUUGUAGACCAGCAUGAAAGGCAAAAUGAGGGUCCGUCUGUCUCUUACAAUGAAUCAAUUAAACUGAUCUCCUAGUAAAAAAGCUAGAAUCCACACACAAGACCAAAAGACCCUGUGAAGCUUGAACUAAACUAUUAAACCCUAUAAUACCUACUUUCGGUUGGGGCGACCUUGGAAAAAAAAGAAACUUCCAAACAUAUGACUACACUCACAAACAGGCCUACAAGCCUUAAUAGACCCAGCACAGCUGAUAAUUGAACCAAGUUACUCCAGGGAUAACAGCGCUAUCUUCUUCAAGAGUCCAUAUCAAAAAGAAGGUUUACGACCUCGAUGUUGGAUCAGGACAUCCUAAUGGUGCAGCCGCUAUUAAGGGUUCGUUUGUUCAACGAUUAACAGUCCUACGUGA